rnacentral:piRNA from 1 species
UGCAUGUGUAUACACUGAGUUUGCAGGUGGCU